CUUGGACUCCCUUGUGUGCCAGCAGCUCCUCUCUCCCCUUUUCCCCCAGCAGGCUGUGUAGCUGGGCCACAGUGCCAUGAAGAUUACUGGCUCCCCCCGGGGAACCAACAUUUUAUUUUCAGAAAUACCACUUUAAACAUGAAGCUUGAACUUAAGUCCAUUCACUUAAUGAUGCAUUGCGGGAAGCUGAGUGCUCAGAAGCCCACCACCACCUCCAGGGGGUCAGCGACCCUGAGCACAGUGUUGGCCAGCACAUUCUGGACGGUGCUGCAGACCUCGAGGAUGGCCUUUCCAGUGGCUGCCUGCCCACCCUGAACAGGGCCAAUAUCUGGACAUGGGGGAGAGACCACAGAGUCCACAGGACUGCUGCCACAGGGUCACCGCCACCUGUCACUGAAGCCAACUAGAGGUGCCAGCAAUACCACUGCCGCAUCCUAGACUGGACUGACAUGCUCCAGCAGCUGG